AUCUUCAAUUAAAAAGUGAUGCAUCUUAGUAAUCUUACUUUUUUUUUUCUCGCUUAUUUAUAAUCCCUCACACAGUGUCACACACAUACAUACACACACACAUUGGCAGACUGGCUGCAUGGAGCAGCACAUAAUCCCCCAGCAUCCUCAUGAGAUCCUGCUGUCGUGUAUGGGACGCCACUAUAUAAAUGUAUUGGUGACCUUCAAGAAAGGAAAUAUGAACAAGUUCUGAACUCCUAUUGGGCUGUCAAAUGAAAUAUGAACAAAUUGCAGAAUCUUAAUGAACUGUCAAGGAGAUAUGAACAAGUUCCAUACACCUAAUAAGUUCUCUAAGGAAACAUGAAUAGGUUCUUAACUCCUAAUGAGCUGUCUAAGUAAACAUGAACAUGUUGCAGACUCCUUUAGUUGUCAAGGAAUUAUGAAUGAAUUUCAAACUCCUUAUAAGUUGUCUAAUAAAAUAUAAACAAGUUGCAAACUC